rnacentral:rRNA from 1 species
UACGGAGGGAGCUAGCGUUGUUCGGAAUUACUGGGCGUAAAGCGCGCGCAGGCGGCUAUCCAAGUCAGUGGUGAAAGCCCGGAGCUCAACUCCGGAACUGCCAUUGAAACUGUUUAGCUUGAGGACGAGAGAGGUGAGUGGAAUUCCCAGUGUAGAGGUGAAAUUCGUAGAUAUUGGGAAGAACACCGGUGGCGAAGGCGGCUCACUGGCUCGUUUCUGACGCUCAGGCGCGAUAGCGUGGGGAUCAAACAGG